rnacentral:rRNA from 1 species
UGAUCCUGGCUCAGGAUGAACGCUAGCGGCAGGCUUAACACAUGCAAGUCGAGGGGUAACAGGGAAGCUUGCUUCCGCUGACGACCGGCGCACGGGUGCGUAACGCGUAUAGAACUUACCUUUUACAGAGGGAUAGCCUUUAGAAAUGAAGAUUAAUACCUCAUAGUAUUAUUGAUUGGCAUCAAUUAAUAAUUAAAGAUUUAUCGGUAAAAGAUGGCUAUGCGUCCUAUUAGCUAGAUGGUAAGGUAAUGGCUUACCAUGGCUACGAUAGGUAGGGGCCCUGAGAGGGGGAUCCCCCACACUGGUACUGAGACACGGACCAGACUCCUACGGGAGGCAGCAGUGAGGAAUAUUGGGCAAUGGAGGUAACUCUGACCCAGCCAUGCCGCGUGCAGGAAGACUGCCCUAUGGGUUGUAAACUGCUUUUAUACAGGAAGAAACACUCGUACGUGUACGAGCUUGACGGUACUGUAAGAAUAAGGACCGGCUAACUCCGUGCCAGCAGCCGCGGUAAUACGGAGGGUCCGAGCGUUAUCCGGAAUCAUUGGGUUUAAAGGGUCCGCAGGCGGUCAAUUAAGUCAGAGGUGAAAUCCCAUAGCUUAACUAUGGAACUGCCUUUGAUACUGGUUGACUUGAGUCAUAUGGAAGUAGAUAGAAUGUGUAGUGUAGCGGUGAAAUGCAUAGAUAUUACACAGAAUACCGAUUGCGAAGGCAGUCUACUACGUAUGUACUGACGCUCAUGGACGAAAGCGUGGGGAGCGAACAGGAUUAGAUACCCUGGUAGU